AGUGAAAACUUCUGCCUGAGUGGAAGAACAAGACAGGAAAGGGUGGGGGGGAAUGCCAAGCGGUGGGAGACGCGAAAAGGAAAAGGUUGACUAGGAUGCACUCAGCCGGCAGAUAUCGGAGCCAUAUCUGUAGUGGUGCUUGGCUUAAGAGCAAGUUCACCCUUGAUUGUUGCUAAGCAAUGAAGACGAAGGCAGAGAGAGAGAGAGAGAGAGAGAGAGAGAGAGCGCACAAGAAAAUGAAAAAGGCUUUGAGGUCAUCCAGAGCGACUGCCAAAUUAAAUAUAGAUGCUCCCGCUGCACGGUCUGACUUGCCGUGAAUGCAAAGAUGCUAAAUAACUCCAGCCUCUCUGCCAGGCUAUCAGCUGUCAAAAAGUGGACCAGUAUCUACAUCACAAGCAUCACCUCCAGGCGGAAAGCAUGGUCUGUGUCCUAGUAUGAUGAUUAACCACAUGUAGGGGCCUGAACUGUUGGCAUCUGCCUCUGAUCCAAAAGGGGGUGGAAGAAAUCCCUUCGCCUAUCAGCGGUAACAGGUCUUGCUGCAGGCUGAUGAUAACUCUGUUCUGCCACCUCAUUGACAGCCAACGAAGCUUGACAGACAGAAGGACCAAAGGGAAGCAAUCGCUUUUUU